UGAAAUUAGUCAAAUGCAAAUAAGGACCCUGCGAGCUAGACGUGCGAUACACUCGCGAUUUGUGCAAGUGGAGGUGCAUUUUUUGCCUGAGAAGACGUAAAUAUCCUUUAAUUGAAAAUUUCUGAAAAUUACUAAUUCACCUCGGAAUUUUCAUAUGCCCAAAAAGAAAUUACAGAAUUUUCGAUUCAGUCCCUGUUAUUUUGAAAAAGACCCUCUCUUCAAUCUAAAACCCUUGGCCAAUCUCUUCGUCGGAUUAUCAAAACAAAGCCCCCAAAUAUUGACCCUUUAAAGAACAAAACAACUUCAUUUCAUUCUUCUCCAAUGGAUCCGCAAACAAAGGCUCAGAGACGAGGUAAUUUACCUUCAUUCCCUCUGGCACCAAGGUUCCGUUAGAGCAGCUGUUAUUGCCGCCGUCUCCCCCGCUGCGGCUGGAAUUCACCACGGCGGCGCUGCUGAUGAGACGAUUUUUUUGUUGCUGCUUUAUAUUGCUGCUUUGUGCUUGUGUGCGUGCGUCCAUGUUGCUGGGUUUUUUUGAGGAUUUUAUCGGGGAAUUUGUGACGAUUCAUUUUCAUAACCCUUCCUCUUCUUCUGAUCUCUUCUUCAACGGUGGGUUUAAAGUCGGAAUCAAGAGUCGGGUGAAUUAUCCAUGGCGGAUCGGGCCUUGAAGUCUCCUCUCCUCUCUCUCUCUCUCUCUCUCUCUCUCUCUCUCUCUCUCUCUCUCUCUCUCUCUCUCUCUCUCUCUCUCUCUCUCUCUCUCUCUCUCUCUCUCUCUCUCUCUCUCUCUCAUACACACACACACAAAAGGGAAGACACAUUACUGUGAUUAGAUCCGUAUGCAGAUUGUUAGUAGUAACUUCAUAUUUGAUUCUUGCAGGGUUUGUUUUGUGAAUUGGAUAAGGAAUGGAAUGAAAGAGAUGAAGAUUGGUCUGGGGCUAAUUCACGAUUAUUUUUCUUAAUUAAAAUUGAGGGUAGUUUUGUCAUUUCACGUGAGUCAACGAUCAAUUUCCAUGUAGGGGGCAGUGUGCUUCAUAAAAUAUAAUAUAGGGGGGUCGUCGCUAAUAUUUUUAACAUGAGGACUUUUUCGACAAUUCGAAAUUACACAGGGGGUUGUAUGCAAUUAACUCAUAUAUAUAUAUAUAUGUUUGGUAUUUAUGUGUAGUACAUGGGUAUAUGAUACGAAGAGCAUCGUACAGGGGUGUUUUUGUAUUUAAUCAUAUUAUUCAUUAGGUAAUAAGAAAUUACCACUUUUAAACUUUGAUCAAAGAGGAUUCAUUAACGUAUGAGGUAAUAUAAAUACGGCAUGCUCAUAAUUCCUAAGCCCAUUCCUUUUCUACUUCUCCUCCAUACCUGCAACUGUGCAACCCUUGUUUUUCCUCUUGCUUCUCUCCUCAAAUCAGAUUCGGAAUCUUCCAACUCCGGCGAUGGGUGACGGCAGUGGCGUAUCUAGUAUGGUGCAAGGGUGUGCAGCUGCACACCCUUGAUUUUAAAAAAAAUAUAUUUCCUAU
rnacentral:lncRNA from 1 species